rnacentral:rRNA from 1 species
GAUGAACGCUGGCGGCGUGCCUAAUACAUGCAAGUCGAGCGAACGGACGAGAAGCUUGCUUUUCUGAUGUUAGCGGCGGACGGGUGAGUAACGCGUGUAUAACCUACCUAUAAGACUGGGAUAACUUCGGGAAACCGGAGCUAAUACCGGAUAAUAUUUUGAACCGCAUGGUUCAAAAGUGAAAGACGGUGUUUCUGUCACUUAUAGAGGGAUCCGCGCUGCAUUAGCUAGUUGGUAAGGUAACGGCUUACCAAGGCAACGAUGCAUAGCCGACCUGUGAGGGUGAUCGGCCGCACUGGAACUGAGACACGGUCCAGACGCCUACGGGAGGCAGCAGUAGGGAAUCUUCCGCAAUGGGCGAAAGCCUGACGGAGCAACGCCGCGUGAGUGAUGACGGUCUUCGGAUCGUAAAACUCUGUUAUGAGGGAAAAACAUAUGUGUAAGUAACUGUGCCCAUCGUGACGGUACCUAAUAAGAAAGCCACGGCUAACUACGUG